UGGGGAAUAUUGGACAAUGUGGCGCAAGCCUGAUCCAGCCAUACCGCGUGGGUGAAGAAGGCCUUCGGGUUGUAAAGCCCUUUUGUUGGGAAAGAAAUCCAGCUGGCUAAUACCCGGUUGGGAUGACGGUACCCAAAGAAUAAGCACCGGCUAACUUCGUGCCAGCAGCCGCGGUAAUACGAAGGGUGCAAGCGUUACUCGGAAUUACUGGGCGUAAAGCGUGCGUAGGUGGUCGUUUAAGUCCGUUGUGAAAGCCCUGGGCUCAACCUGGGAACUGCAGUGGAUACUGGGCGACUAGAAUGUGGUAGAGGGUGGCGGAAUUCCUGGUGUAGCAGUGAAAUGCGUAGAGAUCAGGAGGAACAUCCAUGGCGAAGGCAGCUACCUGGACCAACAUUGACACUGAGGCACGAAAGCGUGGGGAGCAAACAGGAUUAGAUACCCUGGUAGUCCACGCCCUAAACGAUGCGAACUGGAUGUUGGGUGCAAUUUGGCACGCAGUAUCGAAGCUAACGCGUUAAGUUCGCCGCCUGGGGAGUACGGUCGCAAGACUG
rnacentral:rRNA from 1 species